GUGAUCGGGGUUCUCUUGCUUGGAUGUAGUUGAUGAUUUCUCUGUUGAAUUACAGGUUGUCUGCAGCCUGGUCCUUCUGAUGCUCUCUGUAUAUAGCACUAUGCCUCAUACAGAAAUAUCCAAUUGGAUCUUUAACACAAAAUAGCAGAUGAAAUUCUGAUUUUUCAACACAAAUGAUGGGCCUUACAAGAUAUUCUCGAGA
rnacentral:misc_RNA from 1 species